UACGGAGGGGGCUAGCGUUGUUCGGAAUUACGGGGCGUAAAGGGCGCGUAGGCGGCGCGGAUAGUCGGCGGUGAAAGCCCGGAGCUCAACUCCGGGUCGGCCGUCGAUACUUCCGGGCUUGAGCACUGUAGAGGCAGAUGGAAUUCCGGGUGUAGCGGUGGAAUGCGUAGAGAUCCGGAAGAACACCGGUGGCGAAGGCGGUCUGCUGGGCAGUUGCUGACGCUGAUGCGCGACAGCGUGGGGAGCAAACAGG
rnacentral:rRNA from 1 species